GAUGAAGAAUGUAGCGAAAUGCGAUAAGUAAUGUGAAUUGCAGAAUUCAGUGAAUCAUCGAAUCUUUGAACGCACAUUGCGCCCCUUGGUAUUCCGAGGGGCAUGCCUGUUCGAGCGUCAUUAUAACCCCUCAAGCUCAGCUUGGUGUUGGGGCCUGCUGCACUGGCAGCCCUUAAAAUCAGUGGCGGCGCCAUCUGGCUCUAAGCGUAGUAAUUCUUCUCGCUAUGGAGUCCUGGUGGAUGCUUGCCAUCAACCCCCAAUUUUUCUAUGGUUGACCUCGGAUCAGGUAGGGAUACCCGCUGAACUUAAGCAUAUCAAUAAGCGGAGGA
rnacentral:misc_RNA from 1 species